UACGGAGGGUCCAAGCGCUAAUCGGAAUUACUGGGCGUAAAGCGUGCGCAGGCGGUUUGUUAAGCGAGAUGUGAAAGCCCCCGGGCGUCAACCUGGGAAGUUGCAUUUCGUAACUGGCAAACUAAGAGUCUUGUAGAGGGGGUAGGAAUUCCAGGUGUAGCGGUGGAAAUAGCGUAGAGAUCUGGAGGAAUACCGGUGGCGAAGGCGGCCCCCUCGGACAAAGAACUGACGCUCAGGCACGAAAGACGUGGGGAGGCAAACAGGAUUAGAUACCCGUGUAGU
rnacentral:rRNA from 1 species